CUUCCGCCCCUCAGAGAGACGGGGGAUCUCUGUUUCCUCUGAUUGCACUGUCCUGGGGCCUUGGGGACUUGCCCCAACCCUCCAACAGAACAGGAAGUGAUUCCAAACCCGAAGGGCCCCCACACAGAGGUCCUGUCCCAACCUCGCCCUAGAACAGAGCCAGAGCUGGAAGCCAGGAAGCUGUGCUGUGGACCUGGAAUUUCCUGAUGUGAUGCUAUCACAUGGCUGACUACUAGCCAUGAGAAGCUCACUGCCCUCAUGAGACAACACAGGCCUUCUUGGGAAGAAUGAACAGAAAAGAGGAUUUGCUGGACACUGGCCAUGCUCCACAGCCAGUUGUUUCUCACAGAGGACCAGCCAGCGUAGGAUUAUUCCCACUUUAACAAGGAGGAAACUGAGGCUCAGAGAGGUGAAGCACAUUUCUCCAGGUCACAAAGCUGAGUGGGCAACAAAGUUGGGAUAUUCAAACCCAGGACUGUGAAAGUCAAGGGUAUUUCCUUUCUUGUUUGUUUGUUUGUUUAUUGUUUUUUCGAGACAGGUUUC